rnacentral:rRNA from 1 species
AUGACGUCGCUGCCAUGCCCAUUGGUCGUGCAGCUCAUCACUAACUACUUAACUUCACAAUGCUUUUCUGGCAAGAACCACCUACGUUCCUGCUACAUCUGCAGUCUCUCUCUGCAACUGCAAGCUCGCCUUCUCCUCAUCUUUGUUUUCACCGCAAUCUUCCACCUACACAUCGGUGUGACAAGCUCUGCUACGACAGACACCAUCUCAGCUCGCCAACCACUUGGCAGCGGCAACAAGCUCGUCUCCCGGAACGACAGGUACGCGCUUGGCUUCUUCGAGACUGGUACAUGGACAUAUAUGUUAGACCAGGGCUUCACCGUGAGAUCACCAGAGGACUGGGAGCUAGAUGAUCGAACCAGCGGGUGCUUGAGAAAUGCUCCAUUAGACUGUAGUAGCAACAGAAGUGCAAGCUCAACAGACAAGUUCCACUCUGCCAUGUGUGAGAUAGUUGUGAGAAUAGCAUCGCAAGCAUUCAUUGCUAAUUGCUAUGAAAAUUCUCAAAUUCCCUUAUAA